rnacentral:tRNA from 1 species
UGCGGAGUGGUGUAAUGGUAACACGCCUGACUCUGGAUCAGGUAAUUCAAGGUUCGAGUCCUUGCUCCGCAG